GGAGACUGGAGGAGGUCGGACGGGGAGGAAGGGGAGGAAGAGGAAAGGGGACGAGAAAGGUGAGAGCCAGAGAGGGGCGCGGAGGGGAAGAGUGACGAGUGGAGGAGUUGCAGCUGACAGCAGACGCCUCUCAAUUCCUCGUCCACAAACGGAGCACAACAGGGCUGGGGUGGACGGCGGAGGCAGAGCGCUCGCCACUGCGCGUGAGGCACCUCUUGGAUCCUCGGCACCACGUGUCAUUGCGUCCACCUACAACUAAGAAUGAACAUCAGCACACAAAACCAAACAGACGGAGCACGGCAUUUCAAUUCUCUG
rnacentral:lncRNA from 1 species